rnacentral:rRNA from 1 species
CGGGAGAGGGAGCCUGAGAAACGGCUACCACAUCCAAGGAAGGCAGCAGGCGCGCAAAUUACCCAAUCCCGACACGGGGAGGUAGUGACAAUAAAUAACAAUACAGGGCUCUUUCGGGUCUUGUAAUUGGAAUGAGUACAAUUUAAAUCCCUUAACGAGGAACAAUUGGAGGGCAAGUCUGGUGCCAGCAGCCGCGGUAAUUCCAGCUCCAAUAGCGUAUAUUAAAGUUGUUGCAGUUAAAAAGCUCGUAGUUGAAUUUCGGGGUUCUACCGUUGGUCGGGCUUUGUCUGUACUGGCGUGUAGAAUUUCUACCUUCUGGGGAACCAUCAUGUUAUUAAUUUAACGUGGUGGGAAACCAGGACCUUUACCUUGAAAAAAUUAGAGUGUUCAAAGCAGGCUUAUGUCUGAAUACAUUAGCAUGGAAUAAUAGAAUAGGACGGUGGUCCUGUUUUGUUGGUUUCUGAAUCACCGUAAUGAUUAAUAGGGAUAGUUGGGGGCAUUAGUAUUCAAUUGUCAGAGGUGAAAUUCUUGGAUUUAUUGAAGACUAACUUCUGCGAAAGCAUUUGCCAAGGAUGUUUUCAUUAAUCAAGAACGAAAGUUAGGGGAUCGAAGACGAUCAGAUACCGUCGUAGUCUUAACCAUAAACUAUGCCGACUAGGGAUCGGACGAUGUUAAUUUUUCUUGACUCGUUCGGCGCCUUACGGGAACCAA